UAUCACUGGUAGUCCGCUAAACUGUCAUCUCAAACAAAAACAAAUGGACCAUAUAACUGACUAUGAUGUGAAAACAUCUGGCUUAUCUAUAGCCAUCAAUAGAAACUAGCCGGAAGAUGAUUUCCCCCAUUACCAGUCGCCAAACAACAAGAACAACAGUGCAGAUUUUCACCGUUGUCACAGGAGCCAACAACAUCUGCAAUUCCAAUCAGCAGUAUCCUCCAAACCCAUGCCGGGGACAGCAAGAACAGCGGCAACAGCAGAAUCGAAUCCUCGGGCACAAAUGUGUAUCAAGGAAAUAAAAACUAUCAACGCAGGAGGUAUUUAUCAACGAGCUCAGCUGGACUCGAAUCGUCAAUCCGGAAACCCCGGAUUUAAAAAUUUCGCUGUAUUGUGGUUAUUUGUAUAUCACAAACACAUAUUGUUUUGUAAUACGUAUUUUUUCGAGUAAUAAAAUGACUAAAAUUGA